rnacentral:misc_RNA from 1 species
UCAAACUUGGUCAUUUAGAGGAAGUAAAAGUCGUAACAAGGUUUCCGUAGGUGAACCUGCGGAAGGAUCAUUACAACGUAUCCACGUACCAAACUCUCGAACUGUUCCCAACGGAGUAAACACACUUGUGGAUGAAGUUAAUGAUGGACUGUCUUUCGCUGAUGGAGUUCGCUGACUUUUGUCAGAGGACUGAGAGACUUUCUGUCGUCAGAGCUCUAGUCUCUGAGACUUCGUUUGCUCCGCUGCGGUUUUACCGUCAGCGUUUUACCAUUAUUAACCCUAUGAAAUUCUGAACUGAACUUGAAAGCCUAGCAGCGGUCCUUGUUGGCUUCGGUCACGGACUUAGCGGCCUGGUUUUUUCUUAUUUACGAAACAAAGAACAACUCUUAGCAACGGAUAUCUUGGUUCUCGUAUCGAUGAAGAACGCAGC